rnacentral:rRNA from 2 species
CGUAACAAGGUUUCCGUAGGUGAACCUGCGGAAGGAUCAUUGUUAAAUCCCAAAAAACAAAAACAACCUGAGAAUAUGUUCAAUAACAUGCAUCGGGUGUGGGGGUAAAACCUCUUUGUCCGUUGCUCUUUGUUCAACCAAUCGUUGGUUGUGUUGGGCAAAAAUAAAACAAAAAUCGGCACGGGAAGUGCCAAGGGCUUAUGAAAUGGGAUGCNUUUGUCGUGGAGGGGGGACCGUUUACGGAAUCCCUUUACCACGGUUCUCAAAAGGUCUCCGCAAAAGAAACCUUAUACGACUCUCGACAACGGAUAUCUAGGCUCUCGCAUCGAUGAAGAACGUAGCAAAAUGCGAUACUUGGUGUGAAUUGCAGAAUCCCGUGAAUCAUCGAGUUUUUGAACGCAAGUUGCGCCCGAAGUCAUUAGGCCGAGGGCACGUCUGCCUGGGUGUCACGCAUCGCGUCGCCUCCCACAUAAAAAUAUGGGGGGGCGGAUUAUGGCUUCCCGUGCUCUGAUGCGGCUAGCCUAAAAGAUUGCUCGCCCGCCGCGCACAUUGCGACAAGUGGUGGUCGAUUUUAUUGAACGCAAAUUGUCGUGCAAAUGUCGCGUCGAGAAGGGCGCUUGGAUCCUUAUGUGCAUUAGUCCCUCACUGAGGGAUGAUUGCCCACGACCGCGACCCCAGGUCAGGCGGGGUUACCCGCUGAGUUUAAGCAUAUCAAUAA